UAUAUAUCAUCACAAUUUCUGAAGAUAAUAAGAAUAUUGAGUAGCUUAAAAAAAAGUAAAAAUAUAAAGUAGAAUACAGUUUUUGAUGAAUAACUUUCCUACAAAAAAUGUAAAACCUGAUCCAAUUUGGAGUUAGCCAAACCGAAGCAACAGUCCACAUCCUUCAGUAUACGAGGGAGUUAAAUUUUUGUCACCCUGUGCUACCUCUGAGCUCUGCCUCUGGUGGAUUUUAUUCUCUGCGGAUUGUGUCAAGGGUGGUGAUUAUUCAUGCUGACAGAUGAGGGCGGUGGUGGAACAGAACUUAAAUGAAGGGGAGGUGCAGAGGCGGGACUUGGCCUGAGAUUCCAGCGUAUUGGCUUUUUCUCUGACGUUUCUUGAUGUUGAGGACUCAAUGGAACUGGUGGUUUAUGAAACAACAGUUUGUGUUCUGGUGGUGGUUUAUGAAGUGGCGGUUGGUGCUCUGAUUUAGAAAAUGGGUGCAUCGGGACCCAUCUUUCUUAUGUCUUAUUUACUAGUUUGCCUUAUGCUCAGUUUCAAUUGUAGUUUUUGUAGUUUGUGUAUUGUUCCUGGGCUAGUCUUUUUUUAGUUCUUGUUGUUUAGCUGUUUCCCU